GUGUGUGGCUCAGCGGUAGAGUGCUCACCUAGCAUGUGUGAGGCCCUGGGUUUGAUCCUCAAUACCACA
rnacentral:tRNA from 1 species